CCUAGUAACGGCGAGUGAAGAGGGAAGAGCCCAAGAUUGAAAGCUGGCGUCAUUCACUGGCGUUCCGCAUUGUAAUCUCAAGAAGCGUUCAUCCGCUACGGACCAGGUCCAAGUCUCUUGGAAAAGAGCGUCAUGGAGGGUGAAAAUCCCGUGUAUGACCUGGAGCCGCCGUAGUACUGCGAUGCGUUUUUUCUCAGAGUCGAGUUGUUUGAGAAUGCAGCUCAAAAUGGGUGGUAAAUGCCAUCUAAGGCUAAAUACAGGGGAGAGACCGAUAGCAAACAAGUACCGUGAGGGAAAGAUGCAAAGAACUUUGGAAAGAGAGUUAAACAGUACGUGAAAUUGCCAGAAGGGAAGGGUAGGAAGUCAGAGAUGCGGAGAGGUCGCUCAGCCGGAUGUUUGUAGUGGGCAUGCGGUGUAAGCGACCGAUCGGCAGGUCAACGUCGGUUCUGUGGGCGCGGGAAAGCGGGGCCGGGCCAUGUGGCAUUUCUUCGGAAGUGUGAUUAUAGACCGGCCUUUUGAGUCUGGACCAGCGACGGGAGCCGUAGUUUAGCAGCAUGAUGCUUCCGGUGUUCUUUGUCGGAGGAGGGCGUGAAAACCUUUUUCCGGAGGGGCGCGGAGGUGUUAGGUCUUCGGGCACUAUUCAUGCUGAUGGCGUUGACUGAAUGGCCGUCUACCACCCGUCU
rnacentral:rRNA from 1 species